rnacentral:rRNA from 1 species
UACGGAGGGGACUAGCGUUGUUCGGAAUUACUGGGCGUAAAGCGCACGUAGGCGGAUUUGUAAGUCAGGGGUGAAAUCCCGGGGCUCAACCUCGGAACUGCCUUUGAUACUGCAAAUCUCGAGUCCGGAAGAGGUGAGUGGAAUUCCUAGUGUAGAGGUGAAAUUCGUAGAUAUUAGGAAGAACACCAGUGGCGAAGGCGGCUCACUGGUCCGGUACUGACGCUGAGGUGCGAAAGCGUGGGGAGCGAACGAGG